GUGUGUGUAGUUUAAAAAAAACAUCAAACUGUGACCCUGACAAUAGGAAUUAACUCCUCGCACACC
rnacentral:tRNA from 1 species